rnacentral:rRNA from 1 species
AGUGAACGCUGGCGGUAGGCCUAACACAUGCAAGUCGAACGGCAGCACAGGAGAGCUUGCUCUCUGGGUGGCGAGUGGCGGACGGGUGAGGAAUACAUCGGAAUCUACCUUGUCGUGGGGGAUAACGUAGGGAAACUUACGCUAAUACCGCAUACGACCUUCGGGUGAAAGUGGGGGACCGCAAGGCCUCACGCGAUUAGAUGAGCCGAUGUCGGAUUAGCUAGUUGGCGGGGUAAAAGCCCACCAAGGCGACGAUCCGUAGCUGGUCUGAGCGGAUGAUCAGCCACACUGGAACUGAGACACGGUCCAGACUCCUACGGGAGGCAGCAGUGGGGAAUAUUGGACAAUGGGCGCAAGCCUGAUCCAGCCAUACCGCGUGGGUGAAGAAGGCCUUCGGGUUGUAAAGCCCUUUUGUUGGGAAAGAAAUCUUGCCGGUUAAUACCUGGCGAGGAUGACGGUACCCAAAGAAUAAGCACCGGCUAACUUCGUGCCAGCCGCCGCCGUAAAAC